AACUUGCAACAACGUGUCUCUUGGCUCUCGCAUCGAUUAAGAACGCAGCGAAAUGCGAUAAGUAAUGUGAAUUGCAGAAUUCAGUGAAUCAUCGAAUCUUUGAACGCACCUUGCACCCUUUGGCAUUCCGAAGGGUAUGCUCGUUUGAGUGUCAUUGUACUCUCACACUUCUCAUCCUUUGGAUUUGGAGCGGUGGACUUGGGUGUUGCCGCUUUACGGUGGCUCACCUCUAAUGCAUUCGUGCAACUCUUGGUUGGACAUAGUACGGCGUGAUAAGUGUCUUCGCCGGCACCUCGCAAGAGGGUGGCUGAUUGAGAGCUCUGUGCUUUCAAACCGUCCUUGGACAAUGACUGACAACUUGACCUCAAAUCGAGUAGGACUACCCGCUGAACUUAAGCAUAUCAAUAAGCGGAGGCU
rnacentral:misc_RNA from 1 species